GCGCGAAAACUUUACAAUGCGGGAAACCGUGAUAAGGGAACUCCGAGUGCCCGUAAAAUCGGGCUGUCCAUCUGUUUAAAUAACAGGUGAAGAAAGGGCCGGGCAAGACCGGUGCCAGCCGCCGCGGUAAUACCGGCGGCUCGAGUGGUGGCCACUAUUACUGGGCUUAAAGCGUUCGUAGCUGGUCUGUUAAGUCUCUGGGGAAAUCUACUGGCUUAACCAAUAGGCGUUUCAGGGAUACUGGCAGACUAGGGACCGGGAGAGGUGAGGGGUACUCCANGNGUAGGA
rnacentral:rRNA from 1 species